rnacentral:rRNA from 1 species
UGGGUUCACGGUGGAUGCCUUGGAGCUGUACGGCGACGAAGGCCGCGAUAAGCUGCGAAAAGCCGCGGGGAGGAGCACAUAUCCUGUGAUCCGCGGAUGGCCGAAUGGGGUAACCCACCAGGAGCGAUCCUGGUACUGAGGAGCUGAAUCAAUAGGCUCCCAGAUGCGAGACCCGGGGAACUGAACCAUCUAAGUACCCGGAGGAAAAGAAAUCAAACGAGAUUCCCCAAGUAGCGGCGAGCGAACGGGGAAGAGCCCAAACCCAGACGUAUGCCAAGGUGCAUACCGUUGUACGUCGGGUGUUGUAGGUACCGUCCGGAGCGAUAUGCAGGAGCUCGUGAAGUCACAAAGAGCAUCGAUAGCGGAACGGCAUGGGAAGGCCGGCCAGAGCGGGUGAGAGCCCCGUACGCGAAAUUGAUGAACCUUCAUGGGGCGGUGUCCUGAGUACGGCGAGGCCAGAGAAACCUUGUCGGAAGCUGGGUCUACCACGAUCCAAGGCUACAUACGUUACAGCUACCGAUAGUGCAGAAGUACCGUGAGGGAAAGGCGAAAAGAACCCCGGCGAGGGGAGUGAAAGAGAACCUGAAACCGUGAACCCACAACAGGUCAAAGCCAUGCGCAAGCAGGGUGAUGGCGUGCCUUUUGUAGAAUGAGCCUGCGAGUUACGAUAUGCAGCGAGGUUAAGGGAUGGGAGUCCCGGAGCCGAAGGGAAACCGAGUCUUAAAUGGGCGAGGCGUCGCAAGACGCAUAGAGUUGCAUGUCGUAGACCCGAAGCCAAGUGAUCUUACCACAGCCAGGUUGAAGCUUGAGUAAAAUCAAGUGGAGGACCGAACCCUCGUAUGAUGAAAAAUGCAGGGAUGAGCUGUGGUACGGAGUGAAAGGCUAAUCAAACUUGGAAAUAGCUGGCACUCCCCGAAAUGCCUUGAGGGACAGCCUCGUAUAAAUUCCCAGGGGGUAGAGCACUGUGUGGACUAGGGGCCUUCACCGGCUACCAAACCCAUGCAAACUCCGAAUACCUGGGAACAACAUACGGGAGUGAGACUGCGUGCGAUAAGGUUCGUAGUCGAGAGGGAAACAGCCCAGACCGACAGCUAAGGUCCCCAAAUACCGCUGAGUGUGAAAUGAUGUGCGAUUGCCCAGACAGCCAGGAGGUUGGCUUAGAAGCAGCAACUCCUUUAAAGAGUGCGUAAUAGCUCACUGGUCGAGCAAUCGUGCGCAAACAAUGUAACGGGGCUAAGCGGUAUACCGAAGCUUCGGAUUCAGGCAGCAAUGUCUGGAUGGUAGGGGAGCAUUCCGUGGACCGGAGAAGGUCGCCUGGAAGGGCGGCUGGAGGGGACGGAAGAGAGAAUGCAGGUAUGAGUACACGAAAAGACGGGUGAGACUCCCGUCCGCCGAAAACCUAAGGUUUCCUGGGUAAAGGCAAUCUGCCCAGGGUAAGUCGGCCCCUAAGGCGAGGCUGAAAAGCGUAACCGAUGGGAAACUGGUUCAUAUUCCAGUACCGAUGCAUGAUUCGAAGGGAUGACGCAUGAGGUGAAACCCGGCCGGAGAACGGUUGUUCCGGUCGAAGCGAUGAGUCGAUGACGCCCACAGGCAAAUCCGUGGGGGGAGGCGAGUCGUGACAGCGAGUGGAGCUACGGCGAAGCGAAGCGGGCGUAAUCACGGUGCCAAGAAAGAGUCUCUAAGGUGUGUCAUGGAUCGACCGUACCGUAAACCGACACAGGUAGGUGGGAUGAGCAAUCUCAGGCGCGCGAGAUAACUAGCGUCAAGGAACUCGGCAAAAUGCACACGUAACUUCGGGAGAAGUGUGGCCUUCUUUGGUUUAGCAAUAGGUUAGAGAAGGUUGCAGAGAGCAGGCCCAAGCGACUGUUUACCAAAAACACAGGUCUCUGCAAACGCGCAAGCGGAUGUAUAGGGACUGACGCCUGCCCGGUGCUGGAAGGUUAAGAGGAGGAGUCAGACGCAAGUCGAAGCCCUGAAUCGAAGCCCCAGUAAACGGCGGCCGUAACUAUAACGGUCCUAAGGUAGCGAAAUUCCUUGUCGGGUAAGUUCCGACCCGCACGAAUGGUGGAACGAUUUGGGCACUGUCUCGACGCUAGACUCGGUGAAAUUUAAGUAGCGGUAAAGAUGCCGCUUACUCGUGGUUAGACGGAAAGACCCCGUGAACCUUCACUGCAACUUACUAUUGGGACUUGGUUUGACAUGUGUAGGAUAGGUGGGAGACAGCGAAGCAUGGCCGCCAGGUUGUGUGGAGUCGUCGGUGAAAUACCACUCUUGUCAAGCUAGGUUUCUAACGGGUGCCUUCAAUCAGGUACCGGGACAGUGGUAGGCAGGCAGUUUGACUGGGGCGGU